rfam:Lipomyces starkeyi NRRL Y-11557 unplaced genomic scaffold LIPSTscaffold_3, whole genome shotgun sequence.
CUCCGGAUGGCCAAGCUGGUAAGGCGUCAGGCUGUAAUGGUUUCCUUAAGGGUCGAUUACCUGAAAAUCGCGUGUUCGAGUCACGCUCCGGAGA